UGCCCAUGGGACAUCUCACGAGGGAGUAAAAAUUAGUGCGAGGAGAUAGGAAGAGAUGCAAUAAAGCUCUUCAGUUGGAACUCAAUAAUGCAAUUACAUUUAUAUAUGGUAUUAAGAACCAUAUCUAGAAAAGGAUGCUCUCUAAUUUGGAUAAACUCAAAUUUAUUUCUCAUAAAUGGAACUGAGGUAAUUAUCCUAU
rnacentral:lncRNA from 1 species